rnacentral:tRNA from 1 species
GGAUUGUGGCUCAGUGGUAGAGAACUUGCCUACCACGUGCAAGGCCCUGGGUUUGAUCCUCAGCACCA